rnacentral:rRNA from 1 species
GCCCUGCGGCUAAAUAUUCGUAGAGUAGCUAGCGUGAUUCGUAGUACUGCGGCUAAGCGCUCGUAGGCGGACUGCAAAGAUUGCGAGCGAGAUACCUGCGGCUCAAACCUACUCAGUUGCGAUUCUAGAGUAUCAGUCUGAGUUCGCGAGAGGAGGAGUGGAAAUCCGUAGUGUAUUAGGUGGGAACACCUAGAUAUAAUGGAGGGAGCACCAGUCUCGAAGGCGACUCACUGGCUCGAUACUGACGCUGCGGUGUGAAAGCGUGGGGAGCAAACACGAUUAGAUACCCCGGUAGUACACGCCCUAAACGAUGAAUGUCAGUCGUAGGCAAGCAUGCUUGUGGGUGACACACCUAACGGAGUAAGCACUCCGCCUGGGGAGUACGGUCGCAAGAUUAGGACUCACACGAAUUGACGGGGGCCCGCACAAACGGUGGAGCACGUGGUUUACUUUGAAGCCACGCGCCGAACCUUACCAACCCCUGACAUGGAUAUGGGGGUUCCAGAGAGGGGUCAUUCAGUUGGGGCGGAUAUCUCACCAGUGCUGCAUGGGUGUUGUCAGGUUGUGUCGUGAGAUGAUCGCUUAACUCCCGCAACGAGGGCAACCCACAUUUUUAGUUUCCAGCAUUCAGUUGGGCACUCUAUGAAAAGAACCGGGGGUAAACCGCAGGAAGGCAUGGACGACGUCAAGUCGUCAUCGCCCCUCCUACAAGGGCUACACACAAGGUACAAUGGUAGUGGCAGGGGGGUAAUUCCCAAAAAAUCUGUCAUUUUGGGGAUGGGUGUGCAACUCUACCCCACGAAAUGUGAAUAUCUAUUAAUAUCGUAACACCACAACGCGCGGAAAAUAUUUUCCCGCCUCGUACACACCCCCCCCCUCACCCCAGGAGAGGGGGUUUCCCCAAGGUGGUGCGCCAACCCCUAAAGGAGGCAGCCAACCACGGUAGGGUCAGCGACUGGGGUGAAGUCGUAACAAGGUAACC